rnacentral:lncRNA from 1 species
UUUUCGUUAAAAAAAAUUAACACCUAAUUAUUUUGUACAACAGAGUCGAUAAAGUGUUAAUGUAUUUAAAUAUAGUCUUGGUAGUGUUGAAACGUGGCAAUGAAAACGUUUUAUUUGAGAAAAAUUAAAAUUUAAAAUAGAUUGUGAAAUAUGAGAUCUCCACUCUUCGUCUUCCUCGCCUGAACCUCCAUUGCCAGCAGCUCCUUCCGUCCCCGCAUGCUCCUCGACCGGUCAGGGCCGUUGCUAGCGACGCUAGUCACCACAGGAAGCUUUGCCGACGACGACAUGAUCUCCCUCCGUAUUCUUCCUCUUUAAAAACGUGUUUCUACCACCUCCCAAUACCCAGAUCGGAAACCGCCGCGAUUUCCGCCAGCUGCGUCGCGCGCAAUCUGGAGUCACCACCAAGACAAUGUCGUGGCCUUCGCACGGCUGAGCACUAUAGCCGAAGCACCGUCGCAGACCCGAAACGGGCUAUUGCGAUUCAAGGGCUGCUGCUCCUCACCUCCUUUCUUCUCAGUCUUGCCAAGCCUUCCCCUAAUUUCCAGUUUUCUUCAUACUCUCGAUGUUGAGAGUUCUUUGUUAUGUUCUAUUGGAAUUUCCCUGUGCAUGUGUGGAGUUGUAGAAGAUGAGGGAUUUAGGGUUCUUCAAUAGCUCUUAUGUUCAAAAAUAGUGACAGGAAUUUAGGGAUUUCAAUCCCAGCCUCCAGGAAACAGCAGUAAAGGAGUCCAAUGACGAUUGAAUAAAGGGUUAGCCCCUGGAUUGGAUCAGUGCAGAAGUGGGGGAUACCAUUUCUGAGGAUGGAAAUGGUGGGUAUGAGCGUCAAAGACAAGACCAUAUAGGAAAAUCACCAAGACUGCAACCAAGAAAAAAUACAAGUAGAACAUAAUCUGGGAAACCCUUCUUGCCGCUUGACCCGCCACCGAUGUUCUAUGGAAAAAGUUUGAAACUUGUGCCUGCACAUGACCAAGUUGACUUUAGUUUUUUCAAUAUAACAAAUGCAGUGCAUGAAAUUUCUUCAUUCAGAUCGACGAAACCAAACCCAUCACAGAAAAUAAUGUAAAACACAACUUAAAAGUUUCAAACUUUUUCAGUUUUUCCAAAUUAAGACACACUGAAAGAAAAAGACUUGCAAAGGAAAAGGGAAAAGAAGAGGGAAAGAAGAGAGAGCUCACACGGUUGAGACCACGUAUUCAACUUUCAAAUUUCUGAUGUCACGUUUUAAAAAAAUUACAUAUCAAC